rnacentral:rRNA from 1 species
UGGGGAAUAUUGCACAAUGGGCGAAAGCCUGAUGCAGCGACGCCGCGUGAGGGAUGACGGCCUUCGGGUUGUAAACCUCUUUCAGCAGGGACGAAGCGCAAGUGACGGUACCUGCAGAAGAAGCACCGGCUAACUACGUGCCAGCAGCCGCGGUAAUACGUAGGGUGCAAGCGUUGUCCGGAAUUACUGGGCGUAAAGAGUUCGUAGGCGGUUUGUCGCGUCGUUUGUGAAAACCAGCAGCUCAACUGCUGGCUUGCAGGCGAUACGGGCAGACUCGAGUACUGCAGGGGAGACUGGAAUUCCUGGUGUAGCGGUGAAAUGCGCAGAUAUCAGGAGGAACACCGGUGGCGAAGGCGGGUCUCUGGGCAGUAACUGACGCUGAGGAACGAAAGCGUGGGUAGCGAACAGG